rnacentral:rRNA from 1 species
GAUGAACGCUAGCGGCAGGCCUAAUACAUGCAAGUCGAACGGUGUCUUCGGACAUAGUGGCGCACGGGUGCGUAACACGUAUGCAACCUACCUUACAUUGGGGGAUAGCCUUUCGAAAGGGAGAUUAAUACCGCAUAAGACAGUAGCUGGGCAUCCAGCAGCUGUUAAAGAUAUAUCGAUGUAAGCUGGGCAUGCGUCCAAUUAGCUAGUUGGUGAGGUAACGGCUCACCAAGGCUAUGAUUGGUAGGGGAACUGAGAGGUCAAUCCCCCACACUGGCACUGAGAUACGGGCCAGACUCCUACGGGAGGCAGCAGUAGGGAAUAUUGGGCAAUGGACGCAAGUCUGACCCAGCCAUGCCGCGUGCAGGAUGAAGGCGUUAUGCGUUGUAAACUGCUUUUAUACAGGAAGAAACGACUCUUGCGAGAGGCAUUGACGGUACUGUAUGAAUAAGCACCGGCUAACUCCGUGCCAGCCGCCGCCGUAAGAC